GACGAACGCUGGCGGCGUGCUUAACACAUGCAAGUCGAACGGACCGGCCCUGCUUUUGUGCGGUGCUCGAGUGGCGAACGGGUGCGUAACACGUGAGUAACCUGACCUUGCCUUUGGGAUAACUUCAGGAAACUGGGGCUAAUACCGGAUAGGAGCUCCUGCUGCAUGGUGGGGGUUGGAAAGUUGCGGCGGUUGGGGUUGGACGCGGGGCUUAUCAGCCUGUUGGUGGGGAAGUGGAUUACCAAGGCGUUGCCGGGUAGCCGGCCUGAGAGGGAGACCGGGCACAUGGGGACUGGGAAGCGGCCCAGACGCCAACGGGAGGCAGCAGUGGAGAAUAUAGCACAAAGGGCGGAGGCCUGAUGGAGCAACGCCGCGUGGGGGAGGUCGGCCGUCGGGGUGGAAACCGGUUUCGCGUGUGACGAAGCGGUGGGGACGGAAAUGGGUAAAGAGGCACCGGCUAAUUACGU
rnacentral:rRNA from 1 species